UACGAGGGGAGCUAGCGUUGUUCGGACUUACUGGGCGUAAAGGGCGCGUAGGCGGUUCUAUAAGUCCGAUGUGAAAGCCCCGGGCUUAACCUGGGAGGUGCAUUUGAAACUGUAGGGCUUGAGAUCGAGAGAGGAAAGUGGAAUUACGAGUGUAGAGGUGAAAUUCGUAGAUAUCCGUAAGAACACCAGUGGCGAAGGCGACUUUCUGGAUCGAUACUGACGCUAAGGCGCGAAAGCGUGGGGAGCAAACAGG
rnacentral:rRNA from 1 species